rnacentral:rRNA from 1 species
GACAGAGGUGCCAAGCGUUAGGCGGAAUCACUGGGCUUAAAGCGUGUGUAGGCGGUCGGUCACGUCUCUUGUGAAAUCCCACGGCUCAACCGUGGAACUGCUGGGUAUACUGGUUGUCUUGAGCCAGCUAGGGGCGAGCGGAACAGACGGUGGAGCGGUGAAAUGCGUAGAUAUCGUCUGGAACGCCGAAGGUGAAAACAGCUCGCUGGGGCUGCGCUGACGCUGAGACACGAAAGCCAGGGGAGCGAACGGG